rnacentral:rRNA from 1 species
AACGCGAAGAACCUUACCUGGCCUUGACAUGCUGGUGGUAGGAGCCUGAAAGGGUGACGACCCAUCGUAAGAUGGGAGCCAGCACAGGUGCUGCAUGGUUGUCGUCAGCUCGUGUCGUGAGAUGUUGGCUUAAGUGCCGCAACGAGCGCAACCCCUGUGUUUAGUUGCCUGCGCAAGCGGGAUCUCUAAACAGACUGCCUCGCUUUAAACGAGGAGGAAGGUGGGGAUGACGUCAAAUCAGUAUGGCCCUUACGGCCAGGGCUGCACACGUGCUACAAUGCGCGGCACAGAGGGAUGCAAGACCGCGAGGUGGAGCAAAUCCCAGAAAACCGACGCCCAGUUCAGAUUGUCGUCUGCAACUCGACGGCAUGAAGCUGGAAUCGCUAGUAAUGGCGCAUCAGCUACGGCGCCGUGAAUACGUUCCCAGGCCUUGUACACACCGACUGUAC